AGUGAACGCUGGCGGUAGGCCUAACACAUGCAAGUCGAACGGCAGCACAGUAAGAGCUUGCUCUUACGGGUGGCGAGUGGCGGACGGGUGAGGAAUACAUCGGAAUCUACUUUUUCGUGGGGGAUAACGUAGGGAAACUUACGCUAAUACCGCAUACGACCUACGGGUGAAAGCAGGGGAUCUUUGGACCUUGCGCGAUUGAAUGAGCCGAUGUCGGAUUAGCUAGUUGGCGGGGUAAAGGCCCACCAAGGCGACGAUCCGUAGCUGGUCUGAGAGGAUGAUCAGCCACACUGGAACUGAGACACGGUCCAGACUCCUACGGGAGGCAGCAGUGGGGAAUAUUGGACAAUGGGCGCAAGCCUGAUCCAGCCAUACCGCGUGGGUGAAGAAGGCCUUCGGGUUGUAAAGCCCUUUUGUUGGGAAAGAAAAGCAGCAGGUUAAUACCCCGCUGUUCUGACGGUACCCAAAGAGUAAGCACCGGCUAACUUCGUG
rnacentral:rRNA from 1 species